rnacentral:pre_miRNA from 7 species
UUGUUUAGAAACUAGGUUUUACUCUGUAGCCCAGGCUAGCCUUGAACUGUAAGACCCCCUUUCGGGGACCCCCACUCUAGUCUCAGGAGUGUGAGAGCACCCAAAGAAACACGAGGAUCC